GUGGGGAAUAUUGGACAAUGGGCGCAAGCCUGAUCCAGCAAUGCCGCGUGCAGGAAGAAGGCCUUCGGGUUGUAAACUGCUUUUGUACGGAACGAAACGGUCCGGGUUAAUACCCUGGGCUAAUGACGGUACCGUAAGAAUAAGCACCGGCUAACUACGUGCCAGCAGCCGCGGUAAUACGUAGGGUGCAAGCGUUAAUCGGAAUUACUGGGCGUAAAGCGUGCGCAGGCGGUUUUGUAAGACAGGCGUGAAAUCCCCGGGCUCAGCCUGGGAAUUGCGCUUGUGACUGCAAGGCUGGAGUGCGGCAGAGGGGGAUGGAAUUCCGCGUGUAGCAGUGAAAUGCGUAGAUAUGCGGAGGAACACCGAUGGCGAAGGCAAUCCCCUGGGCCUGCACUGACGCUCAUGCACGAAAGCGUGGGGAGCAAACAGGAUUAGAAACCCCUGUAGUCC
rnacentral:rRNA from 1 species